UUUGAGCUAAUCUCUGAAAAUUUCCAACUGUUGAUUUCGGAGCAAAGUCCCCAAAAUCCUCCGCAUUGCAAUCGAUUUGGAGCCGACCAUCCCUCGUUUCGCUCCAUUUGGGGCAACGGUUUGCCUCCGGUAGAAGUUUCCGUUCACCUCCGAUUUGGGGCACUGGUCACUCUUUCGCGCCAUUUGGAGCACCGAUUGAAUGAUUACAACAGUUCUUUAAAGGCACUAAAGAGUCGUCGAGAUUCCUUGUAUCUUCUGCCUCCCUUGGAAGGACUUUGGUUGCUCUUUCUUUUCUGCUGUUUCACUUCUUGUACAUUGCACUGCAGUGGAAUAGUAUAUUGAGGCAACAUCUGGAACUGGUUCAAUUUUGCUCAAAUUUGAAAGUUGGUUUUGGGCUCGUUUGAUGCAACAUCUCUCUGUUCUCAGUUGCUUCUGUAGAAAAUGACCCAGGUGGUGGAAGUGAGGUUGAAACAUCAGGACCUGUACCCUCCUCCUUAAGCAAGGUUUUUCUUCCAUGCUCAAACCUUGAGGUUGUGAAUAGAGCAUUACAGAGCAAGGAUGAUCUAGCUAGCAUGUUUUAUUUGAAAACCAGUUUAAUUAUACUAUGAUUUUGUAAUAUGAAAUUAUAUAAUUGAUAAAAUUUACUAUAUGAAUGCUUUUGUUU
rnacentral:lncRNA from 1 species